rnacentral:rRNA from 1 species
GACGAACGCUGGCGGCGUGCUUAACACAUGCGAGUCGAACGGAAAGGCCCUGCUUUUGUGGGGUGUUCGAGUGGCGAACGGGUGAGUAACACGUGGGUAACCUGCCCUUGACUUUGGGAUAACUUCAGGAAACUGGGGCUAAUACCGGAUAGGAGCUCCUGCGGCAUGGUGGGGGUUGGAAAGUUUCGGCGGGUGGGGAUGGACUCGGGGUUUUUCAGCUUGUGGGUGGGGUAGUGGCUUACCAAGGCUUCGACCAGUAGCUGGUGUGAGAGGGUGACCGGUCAGACGGGGACUGAGACACGGGCGAGACUCCUACGGGAGGCAGCAGUAAGGAAUAUUGGGCAAUGGAGGCAACUCUGACCCAGCCAUGCCGUGUGGAGGAGGAAGGCCCUCUGGGUUGUAAACUUCGUUUAUAGGGGACGAAACCUGUGUAUUCUUACGCAGUUGACGGUACCCGAGGAAUAAGCACCGGCUAACUCCGUG